rnacentral:rRNA from 1 species
UACGUAGGGCGCAAGCGUUAUCCGGAAUUAUUGGGCGUAAAGAGCUCGUAGGCGGCUUGUUGCGUCGUCCGUGAAAACCUGUGGCUCAACUACAGGCUUGCGGUCGAUACGGGCGGGCUGGAGUCCGGUAGGGGAGUGCGGAAUUCCUGGUGUAGCGGUGAAAUGCGCAGAUAUCAGGAGGAACACCGGUGGCGAAGGCGGCACUCUGGGCCGGAACUGACGCUGAGGAGCGAAAGCGUGGGGAGCGAACAGG